rnacentral:rRNA from 1 species
AGCGAACGCUGGCGGCAGGCCUAACACAUGCAAGUCGAACGAAGUCUUCGGACCUAGUGGCGGACGGGUGAGUAACACGUGGGAACGUGCCUUUAGGUUCGGAAUAACUCAGGGAAACUUGUGCUAAUACCGAAUGUGCCCUUCGGGGGAAAGAUUUAUCGCCUUUAGAGCGGCCCGCGUCUGAUUAGCUAGUUGGUGAGGUAAAGGCUCACCAAGGGGACGAUCAGUAGCUGGUCUGAGAGGAUGAUCAGCCACAUUGGGACUGAGACACGGCCCAAACUCCUACGGGAGGCAGCAGUGGGGAAUCUUGCGAAAUGGGCGAAAGCCUGACGCAGCCAUGCCGCGUGAAUGAUGAAGGUCUUAGGAUUGUAAAAUUCUUUCACCGGGGACGAUAAUGACGGUACCCGGAGAAGAAGCCCCGGCUAACUUCGUGCCAGCCGCCGCCGUAACAC